CCUACGGGGGGCUGCAGUGGGGAAUAUUGGACAAUGGGGGCAACCCUGAUCCAGCCAUGCCGCGUGUGUGAAGAAGGCCCUCGGGUUGUAAAGCACUUUCAGUGAGGAAGAACGCCUGGUGGUUAAUACCCAUCAGGAAAGACAUCACUCACAGAAGAAGCACCGGCUAACUCCGUGCCAGCAGCCGCGGUAAUACGGAGGGUGCGAGCGUUAAUCGGAAUUACUGGGCGUAAAGCGCGCGUAGGUGGCUUGAUAAGCCGGUUGUGAAAGCCCCGGGCUCAACCUGGGAACGGCAUCCGGAACUGUCAAGCUAGAGUGCAGGAGAGGAAGGUAGAAUUCCCGGUGUAGCGGUGAAAUGCGUAGAGAUCGGGAGGGAUACCAGUGGCGAAGGCGGCCUUCUGGACUGACACUGACACUGAGGUGCGAAAGCGUGGGUAGCAAACAGGAUUAGAUACCCUUGUAGUA
rnacentral:rRNA from 1 species